CAAGUUCAUCCUUAUUCAUCCAGAGAAUCCUGGGCAUAAAGGGGCCUCAAGAAGCUGUCAAGUCCGUUCCCCUGUCUCUGAGGUCUGGGCUUCCUGGAGCUGGCCAGGUGGAGCUCUCAGAGGCCAGGGCCCUGCCUGAACCAUCCCUAGAUCCUGCUGCAGGGCCUAGCUUGAAGCCUGGGAACAGACCCAGCACCAGGAUUAAAAGGCAUCAGGUCCCAGGAUGGACACACCUCUCCCUGCUCUUUCCGCAACAGAGACAGGAAGGUGGUAUUGGCAAACUUCUCCCAAAGACGUGGUGGCUCACCCAGGAGAGCAGCCCCUGGCAGGCGGGGUCCCAGGUCUGGAGAGGUCUGGAGAGGUUGGCAGGACCAGGGAUUCCCAAACGCUUCAAGCAGCAGAAGCCUCAUAGAAGACCAAAGUCCGC